AUAUGAAAAAUAAUAUACUAGUUAGAAAUAAUAGAAAUAAUAUUAAAUUAAUGAAAAAGUGAAAUAGAGAGGAUGAAUUUGGAGAACUACUAUUCACUUUUCUAUAAAUGGAGAAUAGAGAGCUUUUUAGAAUGUGACCGAAGACUCAAUUUUCUAUUUUACUACUCCCUCCGUCUCAUUUUAUAUGAGGUAGUUUGACUCGGUACGAAGUUUAAGAAAGAAAAUAAGACUUUUAAACCUUGUGGUCCAAAAUGAAUGAUAGAAAUUUGUGUGAUGGUAAAUCAUUUCAUUAAAGAUAAAAUAGAUAUAUUAUAGUUAAAUUGUUACUUAAUAUAGAAAUGUGUCAUUCUUUUUAGAACUAACUAAAAAGUAAGUCACAUAAAUUGAGAGUAAAGAAAUAUCAAAAUAUAGAGAAUGAAGAAUAAGAUAAAGUGGGGUCGGAGAUAUACGAAGGAAUCACAAUUUUUUUAGAAACAAAACACACAUUCCGGUUAAGAGAUCAGCCCCCCGCACCGACUAAUCCACAUACAGCACCGAGUCAUUAUUGGUUAGAAGGGUAGUAUGGUCAAUUACUACGUCAACUAAAUUUUUUUGGUACUUUCAAAGAAAAGAUAAAAUCGUUUUUAAAUAAAUUUCUAGGCUUAAUUUUUUC
rnacentral:lncRNA from 1 species